GACGAACGCUGGCGGCGUGCCUAAUACAUGCAAGUCGGACGCAGUUGCGAACGGAUGAGUAACGCGUCGGUAACUACCUAGUAGAGGGGGCUAACUAUUGGAAACGAUAGCUCAUACCGCAUACUAGUAGGUGGACCUGCGUUGUAUUAGCUAGUCGGUAGGGUAAUGGGCUACCUAGGGCACGAUACAUAGCCGACCUGAGAGGGUGAUCGGCCACACCGGGACUGAGAACAGGCCCAGAGUCCUAAGGGGGGGAGGAGUAGGGAAAUUUUGGAAAUGGGGGGAAACCUGAACGGACAAAGCCGCGGGAGUGAAGAAGGUUUUCGGAUCGUAAAGCUCUGUUGUUAAGGAAGCGGUACUUAACCAGAAAGGGACGGCUAACUACGUGCCAGCAGCCGCGGUAAUAC
rnacentral:rRNA from 1 species